rnacentral:rRNA from 1 species
UACGGGGGGAGCAAGCGUUGUUCGGAUUUACUGGGCGUAAAGGGCGCGUAGGCGGUCGUGACAUGUCACUUGUGAAAUCUCCGGGCUUAACUCGGAACGGUCAAGUGAUACUGUCGGACUAGAGUACAGAAGGGGCAACUGGAAUUCUCGGUGUAGCGGUGAAAUGCGUAGAUAUCGUCAAGAACACCGAUAGUGUAGACAGCUAACUAAGCUUUAACUGACGCUGAGGCACGAAAGUGUGGGGAUCAAACAGG